rnacentral:rRNA from 1 species
AUUGAACGCUGGCGGCAGGCCUAACACAUGCAAGUCGAGCGGAUGAGGGGAGCUUGCUCCCUGAUUUAGCGGCGGACGGGUGAGUAAUGCGUAGGAAGCUGCCCGAUAGAGGGGGAUACCAGUUGGAAACGACUGUUAAUACCGCAUAAUGUCUACGGACCAAAGUGUGGGACCUUCGGGCCACAUGCUAUCGGAUGCGCCUACGUGGGAUUAGCUAGUUGGUGAGGUAAUGGCUCACCAAGGCGACGAUCUCUAGCUGGUUUGAGAGGAUGAUCAGCCACACUGGAACUGAGACACGGUCCAGACUCCUACGGGAGGCAGCAGUGGGGAAUAUUGGACAAUGGGCGCAAUCCUGAUCCAGCCAUGCCGCGUGUGUGAAGAAGGCCUUCGGGUUGUGAAGCACUUUCAGCGAGGAGGAAGGGUGGUGUGUUAAUAGCACAUCAUUUUGACGUUACUCGCAGAAGAAGCACCGGCUAACUCUGUGCCAGCCGCCGCCGUAAGAC